UGAGGUAUAGCUCAGUGGUAGAGUGUGUGCCUAGGAUGCAUGAGGUCUUGGUGUUCAAUCCCCAUUACCUCCA
rfam:Camelus ferus unplaced genomic scaffold scaffold1328, whole genome shotgun sequence.